AGGGUGGCAAGCACUUGUUGCUUAUGUGAAUAUUGGGUGCUACUAUAUAUUUGGGAUCCCAUUUGGCCUCUUAUUGGGUUUUAAGCUCGACAUGGGUGUCACAGGAAUUUGGUGCGGAAUGCUGUGUGGAACCAUUCUACAAGCAUGUGUGCUCAUCUGGUUUAAUUACAGAACCAAUUGGAAUAAAGAGGCAACAAUUGCUGAGAAGAGGAUACGAAAGUGGGGAAGACACUACAAUGAGAUAUCUAAUGGUAUAGAAGAGAAUUAAGUAAAGUGGCUCAGGAAGCGUCUUACUUAGAUUCAAAUAACUAGAUCAUAAAAUUGCAUUUCUUUUCACAUUGUUUUGGGAGAUACUCUUAACUUCAAUUCAAAACUAAC